UCUUAGACAMUSGGCGMASCCUGAUCUAGCCAUGCCGCGUGUGUGAUGAAGGUCUUAGGAUCGUAAAGCACUUUCGCCAGGGAUGAUAAUGACAGUACCUGGUAAAGAAACCCCGGCUAACUCCGUGCCAGCAGCCGCGGUAAUACGGAGGGGGUUAGCGUUGUUCGGAAUUACUGGGCGUAAAGCGUACGUAGGCGGAUCAGAAAGUURGGGGUGAAAUCCCGGGGCUCAACCCCGGAACUGCCUCUCAAAACUSCUGGUCUUGACGUKCGAGAGAGGUGAGUGGAAUUCCAAGUGUAGAGGUGAAAUUCGUAGAUAUUUGGAGGAACACCAGUGGCGAAGGCGGCUCACUGGCUCGAUACUGACGCUGAGGUACGAAAGUGUGGGGAGCAAACAGGAUUAGAUACCCUGGUAGUCCACACCGUAAACGAUGAAUGCCAGUCGUCGGGCAGUAUACGUGUUSGGUGACCACACCUAACGGAUUAAGCAUUCCGC
rnacentral:rRNA from 1 species